GGGUCGUUAACUCAGUCGGUAGAGUAGCUGCCUUUUAAGCAGCGAGUCACUGGUUCGAGCCCAGUACGACCCACCA
rnacentral:tRNA from 1 species